rnacentral:rRNA from 1 species
UACGUAGGGGGCAAGCGUUGUCCGGAUUUAUUGGGCGUAAAGAGCGUGUAGGCGGUCAGGUAGGUCCGUUGUGAAAACUCGAGGCUCAACCUCGAGACGCCGAUGGAAACCAUCUGACUAGAGUCCGGAAGAGGAGAGUGGAAUUCCUGGUGUAGCGGUGAAAUGCGCAGAUAUCAGGAAGAACACCCGUGGCUAAGGCGGCUCUCUAGUACGGUACUGACGCUGAGACGCGAAAAGCGUGGGGGAGCGAACAGG